AUGCAGAACCCCCAGACCCCUUUAUUCAGGCUUACUCUCCAGCAGAUGGGAGGUACUGCUGUGACAUCUCAACUGCAGCUGAAGAUAUUCAAUCUGAGACAUAAAAAAAAGAAUAGUGCAAUGUUGUGGGAUAAACAUCUAGAGCAGUAGUGCAAUGAAUGACAGUUUGUUUCCAGAGAACAGCAAAAUAUCAUGAGGAAAUCCAGAGGAAAUAAACCACAAAAUGAAACAACCUUUCA
rnacentral:lncRNA from 1 species